rnacentral:tRNA from 1 species
AUAAUCAUGAAUUAAUCUUUUACUA